UACGGGGGGGGCAAGCGUUGUUCGGAAUUACUGGGCGUAAAGGGCUCGUAGGCGGCCAACUAAGUCAGACGUGAAAUCCCUCGGCUUAACCGGGGAACUGCGUCUGAUACUGGAUGGCUUGAGAUUGGGAGAGGGAUGCGGAAUUCCAGGUGUAGCGGUGAAAUGCGUAGAUAUCUGGAGGAACACCGGUGGCGAAGGCGGCACCCUGGACCGGCAUUGACGCUGAGGCGCGAAAGCCAGGGGAGCAAACGGG
rnacentral:rRNA from 1 species